rnacentral:rRNA from 2 species
UGGGGAAUAUUGCGCAAUGGGGGAAACCCUGACGCAGCAACGCCGCGUGAAGGAAGAAGGUCUUCGGAUCGUAAACUUUUGUCUUCUGGGACGAACACAAUGACGGUACCAGAGGAGGAAGCCACGGCUAACUACGUGCCAGCAGCCGCGGUAAUACGUAGGUGGCGAGCGUUGUCCGGAAUUACUGGGUGUAAAGGGCGUGUAGGCGGGUAUGCAAGUCAGAUGUGAAAUACCGGGGCUCAACUCCGGGGCUGCAUUUGAAACUGUAUAUCUUGAGUGCAGGAGAGGGAAGCGGAAUUCCUAGUGUAGCGGUGAAAUGCGUAGAUAUUAGGAGGAACACCAGUGGCGAAGGCGGCUUUCUGGACUGUAACUGACGCUGAGGCGCGAAAGCGUGGGGAGCAAACAGG